GCUCCUGUACGGUGUACAUUUUAGGACAUCGUCAGGUAUCAGAAAAAAAAUUGUCAGGUGUCAGUUGUCAAAAAAAAAAUUGUCAGGUAUCAGAAAAAAAAUUGUCAGGUGUCAGUUGUCAAAAAAAAAAAAGUCAGGUAUCAGACAAAAAAUUGUCAGGUGUCAGAAAAAAAGUUGUCAGGUAUCAGAAAAAAAAUUGUCAGGUGUCAGAAAAAAAGUUGUCAGGUGUCAGAAAAAAAGUUGUCAGGUGUCAGAAAAAAAAUUGUCAGGUGUCAGAAAAAAAAUUGUCAGGUGUCAGAAAAAAAGUUGUCAGGUGUCAGAAAAAAAAUUGUCAGGUGUCAGAAAAAAAAUUGUCAGGUGUCAGAAAAAAAGUUGUCAGGUGUCAGAAAAAAAAUUGUCAGGUGUUAGAAAAAAAAUUGUCAGGUGUCAGAAAAAAAGUUGUCAGGUGUCAGAACACAAGGUACCAGAGAGAAAAUCUUCCUGCAGGUGGCGCUGUUGUCAUGUCCCACCCGAAUUGAUUUCCAAAUACGUCAUCAACGUGUGACCGUGGGAGAGCGUAAGGUCAUUGACCUCACCGGAGUUUUACCGUGGUUCAGGCUCCUAACGACACAAGCAAAUGGACAAGCUGAAAGCUUACGAGCAGCUUAAAAAAGACCUUGAAAAUGGUGAGAUUACCCAAAAAGGCUUUGAUAACAACAUAAAAAAGCUCCUGACAGCAGAAAAAUCAGAUGACACUACUUCAACACGUGGCAAUGAAUUUCUCAGUGCAGCAGAGGCCUUUGGUAAAGCCAAGAAACUACUACAGCCUCAAGUAAAGAAAAGGCAGUUUCCACUGAAUGAUAAACGUUUGGACCAUGCCAAAUCAUUAUUGAAGGUCAGACUGGCUCCCAUGGAGUGGAAGCCAAGAACUCAUAGAAAGUGUGGACGGUACCAGAAGUUAAUAAUGGACGAAGCUCCACCUCGAAUCAUUCUUCAAGGCCAUGAAACCUAUGAUGAUUUAAUUACCAUAGGCAAAGAACGCUUCUGGCCAGAGCGUACUGAGGGGAGUGAGUUCACUCUUUGCCAUUCUGACGGGACCAGGUGGAGUAAGCAGGAGUUCCACAAAGAAUACGGAACUGUUUCUGAUAUUACACAUAUGUGGAAAAGAACAAUAUACAUCGGGCGACGACAACUGGAGGUCGUGUGUUUGGAUGAUCAAAGUUCCAUCUCAGAUGAAGACCCUGUAACUAAAGUGGGUGGUGAUGAAAGUUGCAGUUUAGAUGAACUUCCUGAAACCCUCAUAGGACAAAGUGUUGCAGAACAGGAUUUCCAUGCAGAAACAUCCAGCUCAGCUGAAUUUGAAACAGGGAGAGUCAGAAAGAAAAGCCAGUCCAAGCAAAGGAAGGAGGAAAAUGUAGGGUCAUCUCUAGGUCCAGGUGGAGCAGUGAGCCAAGACAUGUUACCACAUGCAGUUAUUGAGUCAAAAGAAGCUAUGGAGGGAGCUGAAGAGCUAUCUGAAGGUGCUGGAAGUAGUGGGCUUUUGAUAGAUUUUGCACAGUCUUUCAACCCAACUCCAAAAUCGCCAUCAUGUAAGCAUUCUUUCCCAUUUAGGGCUAACAUCAUAUCAUCAGACAAAAUUGUAAAUAAAGGUUUUCAUUCUUCACUAUUUGGUACUCAAGUUCCUGGAGUAAACCUAGAUAUUAGUGAUCCAGCAGUUAAUAGAAGAAUGAUUAGCAGUAGCUGUAUGUUAAUGGAUGUUACUUUGUGUUUUUUUUUUUUAUCCCCAAGUGUAUCUUCCACGUGUUCCAUAUGUGGAAGAGGCUUUAAUUACAUACAGUGAGGACAAUCUACUGGGAGAAGGAACAUUUGGCAAGGUAUAUAGAGGUUCUUUUCAUGGUACUCCAGCAGCUGUUAAAAGGAUCAUGUGUGGCCAACAAGGGAUGGAGGACAGCGACAUUCAUCAUGAGAUAAAUGUUUCACUGAGACUGUCUCACCCCAACAUCGUCAGACUCAUGGCAGUUGCCCGCACUGAGUCCUGCUUUUUGUUGGCAGCUGAAUACAUUCAUGGCGCAACCCUGCAGCAAGUGCUUCACACAGACAGCUGCUUGGUGAAGCUUGAAGGGGAUGAUGCCGGUUUCAUAUCACUGGACUUAUCCAUGGCAGUAGAGUACAUCCAUGCACAGAGAAUCAUUCACCAGGAUAUAAAGCCAGCAAAUGUCAUGGUUCACCACCCUUCUAAAAAGGCAGUCCUGACAGACUGGGGCAUGGCAAACAUAAGAGACACUGUGAUGCUUCGUCAAGGGAGUAAGUUCACUGCCCAG
ensembl:lncRNA